UUAGUUGCUAACAGUUCGGCUGAGCACUCUAGGGAGACUGCCUUCGCAAGGAGGAGGAAGGUGAGGACGACGUCAAGUCAUCAUGGCCCUUACGGCCAGGGCUACACACGUGCUACAAUGGGGCGUACAGAGAGCUGCGAUACCGCGAGGUGGAGCCAAUCUCUUAAAGCGUCUCUCAGUUCGGAUUGUUCUCUGCAACUCGAGAACAUGAAGCUGGAAUCACUAGUAAUCGCAGAUCAGCUAUGCUGCGGUGAAUACGUUCCCGGGUCUU
rnacentral:rRNA from 1 species